AUGAACGCUAGCGACAGGCUUAACACAUGCAAGUCGAGGGGCAGCACAGGUAGCAAUACCGGGUGGCGACCGGCGCACGGGUGAGUAACGCGUAUGCAACUUACCUAUCAGAGGGGGAUAACCCGGCGAAAGUCGGACUAAUACCGCAUGAAGCAGGGGCCCCGCAUGGGGAUAUUUGCUAAAGAUUCAUCGCUGAUAGAUAGGCAUGCGUUCCAUUAGGCAGUUGGCGGGGUAACGGCCCACCAAACCGACGAUGGAUAGGGGUUCUGAGAGGAAGGUCCCCCACAUUGGUACUGAGACACGGACCAAACUCCUACGGGAGGCAGCAGUGAGGAAUAUUGGUCAAUGGGCGUAAGCCUGAACCAGCCAAGUCGCGUGAGGGAUGAAGGUUCUAUGGAUCGUAAACCUCUUUUAUAAGGGAAUAAAGUGCGGGACGUGUCCCGUUUUGUAUGUACCUUAUGAAUAAGGAUCGGCUAACUCCGUGCCAGCAGCCGCGGUAAUACGGAGGAUCCGAGCGUUAUCCGGAUUUAUUGGGUUUAAAGGGUGCGUAGGCGGCCUUUUAAGUCAGCGGUGAAAGUCUGUGGCUCAACCAUAGAAUUGCCGUUGAAACUGGGGGGCUUGAGUAUGUUUGAGGCAGGCGGAAUGCGUGGUGUAGCGGUGAAAUGCAUAGAUAUCACGCAGAACCCCGAUUGCGAAGGCAGCCUGCCAAGCCAUGACUGACGCUGAUGCACGAAAGCGUGGGGAUCAAACAGGAUUAGAUACCCUGGUAGUCCACGCAGUAAACGAUGAUCACUAGCUGUUUGCGAUACACAGUAAGCGGCACAGCGAAAGCGUUAAGUGAUCCACCUGGGGAGUACGCCGGCAACGGUGAAACUCAAAGGAAUUGACGGGGGCCCGCACAAGCGGAGGAACAUGUGGUUUAAUUCGAUGAUACGCGAGGAACCUUACCCGGGUUUGAACGCAUUCGGACCGAGGUGGAAACACCUUUUCUAGCAAUAGCCGUUUGCGAGGUGCUGCAUGGUUGUCGUCAGCUCGUGCCGUGAGGUGUCGGCUUAAGUGCCAUAACGAGCGCAACCCUUGCCACUAGUUACUAACAGGUAAAGCUGAGGACUCUGGUGGGACUGCCAGCGUAAGCUGCGAGGAAGGCGGGGAUGACGUCAAAUCAGCACGGCCCUUACAUCCGGGGCGACACACGUGUUACAAUGGCGUGGACAAAGGGAGGCCACCUGGCGACAGGGAGCGAAUCCCCAAACCACGUCUCAGUUCGGAUCGGAGUCUGCAACCCGACUCCGUGAAGCUGGAUUCGCUAGUAAUCGCGCAUCAGCCAUGGCGCGGUGAAUACGUUCCCGGGCCUUGUACACACCGCCCGUCAAGCCAUGGGAGCCGGGGGUACCUGAAGUCCGUAACCGCGAGGAUCGGCCUAGGGUAAAACUGGUGACUGGGGCU
rnacentral:rRNA from 1 species